rnacentral:rRNA from 1 species
GACGAACGCUGGCGGCGUGCUUAACACAUGCAAGUCGAACGGAGAGGCCCUGCUUUUGUGGGGUGCUCGAGUGGCGAACGGGUGAGUAACACGUGAGUAACCUGCCCUUGACUUUGGGAUAAUUUCAGGAAACUGGGGCUAAUACCGGAUAGGAGCUCCUGCUGCAUGGUGGGGGUUGGAAAGUUUCGGCGGUUGGGGAUGGACUCGCGGCUUAUCAGCUUGUUGGUGGGGUAGUGGCUUACCAAGGCUUUGACGGGUAGCCGGCCUGAGAGGGUGACCGGCCACAUUGGGACUGAGAUACGGCCCAGACUCCUACGGGAGGCAGCAGUGGGGAAUAUUGCACAAUGGGCGGAAGCCUGAUGCAGCAACGCCGCGUGCGGGAUGACGGCCUUCGGGUUGUAAACCGCUUUCGCCUGUGACGAAGCGUGAGUGACGGUAAUGGGUAAAGAAGCACCGGCUAACUACGUGCCAGCAGCCGCGGUGAUACGUAGGGUGCGAGCGUUGUCCGGAUUUAUUGGGCGUAAAGGGCUCGUAGGUGGUUGAUCGCGUCGGAAGUGUAAUCUUGGGGCUUAACCCUGAGCGUGCUUUCGAUACGGGUUGACUUGAGGAAGGUAGGGGAGAAUGGAAUUCCUGGUGGAGCGGUGGAAUGCGCAGAUAUCAGGAGGGAACACCAGUGGCGAAGGCGGUUCUCUGGGCCUUUCCUGACGCUGAGGAGCGAAAGCGUGGGGAGCGAACAGGCUUAGAUACCUUGGUAGUCCACGCUGUAAACGGUGGGUACUAGGUGUGGGGUCCAUUCCACGGGUUCCGUGCCGUAGCUAACGCUUUAAGUACCCCGCCUGGGGAGUACGGCCGCAAGGCUAAAACUCAAAGGAAUUGACGGGGCCCCGCACAAGCGGCGGAGCAUGCGGAUUAAUUCGAUGCAACGCGUAGAACCUUACCUGGGUUUGACAUGGAUCGGGAGUGCUCAGAGAUGGGUGUGCCUCUUUUGGGGUCGGUUCACAGGUGGUGCAUGGCUGUCGUCAGCUCGUGUCGUGAGAUGUUGGGUUAAGUCCCGCAACGAGCGCAACCCUUGUUCACUGUUGCCAGCACGUUAUGGUGGGGACUCAGUGGAGACCGCCGGGGUCAACUCGGAGGAAGGUGGGGAUGACGUCAAGUCAUCAUGCCCCUUAUGUCCAGGGCUUCACGCAUGCUACAAUGGCUGGUACAGAGAGUGGCGAGCCUGUGAGGGUGAGCGAAUCUCGGAAAGCCGGUCUCAGUUCGGAUUGGGGUCUGCAACUCGACCUCAUGAAGUCGGAGUCGCUAGUAAUCGCAGAUCAGCAACGCUGCGGUGAAAACGUUCCCGGG